rnacentral:rRNA from 1 species
CCUACGGGUGGCAGCAGUGAGGAAUAUUGGUCAAUGGCCGAGAGGCUGAACCAGCCAAGUCGCGUGAGGGAAGACGGCCCUACGGGUUGUAAACCUCUUUUGUCGGGGAGCAAAGCGGACCACGUGUGGUUCAUUGAGAGUACCCGAAGAAAAAGCAUCGGCUAACUCCGUGCCAGCAGCCGCGGUAAGACGGAGGAUGGGAGCGUUAACCGGGUUUAUUGGGUUUAAAAGGUGCGCAGUCGGAGGGGCAAGUAAGCGGUCAAAUUGCGGGGCUCAACCCCGUACUGCCGUUGAAACUGCAUCCCUUGAGUGCGCGAGAAGUAUGCGGAAUGCGUGGUGUAGCGGUGAAAUGCAUAGAUAUCACGCAGAACUCCGAUUGCGAAGGCAGCAUACCGGCGCGCAACUGACGCUCAUGCACGAAAGCGUGGGUAUCGAACAGGAUUAGAUACCCUUGUAGUC